rnacentral:rRNA from 1 species
AGUUACGGUGACCAUAGCGUCGGGGAAACACCCAGUCUCCAUUCCGAACCUGGAAGUUAAGCCCGACAGCGCCGAUGGUACUGCGACCGGGAGGUCGUGGGAGAGUAGGACGUCGCCGGACA